rnacentral:lncRNA from 7 species
GCUUUACCUGAGAAGCCCCUUGGCACGUUGAGGUCUGUGGCCUCCGUGCAGCCUAGGGACAGGUCACAGGCUCUUGUCUGUUGCCCGUGGUUGUGGGUUUAUUCCCAGGUGUUGGCUGUGCUGCGUUGUCCUUCCCUUCUGGAAAGUCGUGCCUGUGUCCCCAUUUGCCCAGUCUGCCCGCCUCUGUGAUCCCCCGCAGCACUGGCUGGAAGUCCGCCGCGUGUCAGUGAGGAGCUGCUGCAGAAGGAAGAAGAAGAAGCGGCGUGGGGAGCUGGGAGGCAGGAGCAAGCAAGAAGAGGAAGCGGAAGCGUGCAGAUGCGGGGGGGAAGGAGAGAGGCUCCCUGGGCAAAGCACCUGUCCCGUUAGCAGGGGCACAGUCACGUUUGAGUUGAGAGCUGCCGGCGCCUUUGGUGACCAGGCUGGCGUUGUGCUGGGCGACCUCCCCGUAAGCGGGGCUCGGGUCUUUGCUGUAGUUGGCCUUUUGCCUUGCUGCUCCUUUGGCUGCCUGGGGAGCGUGGCCCCCUGUAACGGAGGGCGAGAGCCACCUCUCCGCACCUGAGUGGGAAAUGGAGCUCGCCGGACCCCGAGGCCACCCUGUAAGCAGGGUAGUGCCGUUCCCUGCCCCUCUUCCUCCCCGGCCCCUCGGCAUCGUUGCCUGAUGGUGGCUGUCAAGCGACGGCCCCGUACUCGGGGUGUGCGUCACGGCAUUUGGCUGCUGGCUUUACCUGAGAAGCCCCUUGGCACGUUGAGGUCUGUGGCCUCCGUGCAGCCUAGGGACAGGUCACAGGCUCUUGUCUGUUGCCGUGGUUGUGGGUUUAUUCCCAGGUGUUGGCUGUGCUGCGUUGUCCUUCCCUUCUGGAAAGUCGUGCCUGUGUGUGCGUGUUCCCCUUCCUUUCCUUGUUUGUGUUUGUGGAGUGGUUGAGCGGCUGUGCUUUCCCUUUAGGCCUCCACAAAGAUGGCUGCAGCUUAGCUUUGACUUCCCGGGGGGAAUGGAGGACUUUGGUGCAUGCCGCAAAAGGGGUGUUCCCUCUUAGUCCUGCGAGCGCAGCG